rnacentral:rRNA from 1 species
AGAGUUUGAUCAUGGCUCAGGAUGAACGCUGGCGGCGUGCCUAAUACAUGCAAGUCGAGCGAACUGAUUAGAAGCUUGCUUCUAUGACGUUAGCGGCGGACGGGUGAGUAACACGUGGGCAACCUGCCUGUAAGACUGGGAUAACUUCGGGAAACCGAAGCUAAUACCGGAUAGGAUCUUCUCCUUCAUGGGAGAUGAUUGAAAGAUGGUUUCGGCUAUCACUUACAGAUGGGCCCGCGGUGCAUUAGCUAGUUGGUGAGGUAACGGCUCACCAAGGCAACGAUGCAUAGCCGACCUGAGAGGGUGAUCGGCCACACUGGGACUGAGACACGGCCCAGACUCCUACGGGAGGCAGCAGUAGGGAAUCUUCCGCAAUGGACGAAAGUCUGACGGAGCAACGCCGCGUGAGUGAUGAAGGCUUUCGGGUCGUAAAACUCUGUUGUUAGGGAAGAACAAGUACGAGAGUAACUGCUCGUACCUUGACGGUACCUAACCAGAAAGCCACGGCUAACUACGUGCCAGCAGCCGCGGUAAUACGUAGGUGGCAAGCGUUAUCCGGAAUUAUUGGGCGUAAAGCGCACGCAGGCGGUUUCUUAAGUCUGAUGUGAAAGCCCACGGCUCAACCGUGGAGGGUCAUUGGAA